GAUGAACGCUGGCGGCGUGCCUAAUACAUGCAAGUCGAGCGAACAGACGAGGAGCUUGCUCCUCUGAUGUUAGCGGCGGACGGGUGAGUAACACGUGGAUAACCUACCUAUAAGACUGGGAUAACUUCGGGAAACCGGAGCUAAUACCGGAUAACAUGUUGAACCGCAUGGUUCAACAGUGAAAGACGGUCUUUCUGGCACUUAUAGAUGGAUCCGCGCCGCAUGAGCUAGUUGGUAAGGUAACGGCUUACCAAGGCAACGAUGCGUAGCCGACCUGAGAGGGUGAUAGGCCACACUGGAAGUGGGACACGGUCCAGACUCCUACGGGAGGCAGCAGUAGGGAAUCUUACGCAAUGGGCGAAAGCCUGACGGAGCAACGCCGCGUGAGUGAAGAAGGUCUUCGGAUCGUAAAACUCUGUUAUUAGGGAAGAACAAAUGUGUAAGUAACUAUGCACGUCUUGACGGUACCUAAUCAGAAAGCCACGGCUAACUACGUG
rnacentral:rRNA from 1 species